CCUACGGGAGGCAGCAGUGAGGAAUAUUGGUCAAUGGACGAGAGUCUGAACCAGCCAAGUAGCGUGAAGGAUGACUGCCCUCUGGGUUGUAAACUUCUUUUAUAUGGGAAUAAAAUGUUCCACGUGUGGGAUUUUGUAUGUACCAUAUGAAUAAGGAUCGGCUAACUCCGUGCCAGCAGCCGCGGUAAUACGGAGGAUCCCAGCGUUAUCCGGAUUUAUUGGGGUUCAAGGGAGCGUAGGUGGAUUUUUAAGUCAGUUGUGAAAGUUUGCGGCUCAACCGUAGAAUUGCAGUUGAAACUGGCAGUCUUGAGUGCAGUAGAGGUUGGCGGAAUGCGUGGUGUAGCGGUGAAAUGCUUAGAUAUCACGAAGAACUCCGAUUGCGAAGGCAGUUCACUGGACUGCAACUGACACUGAGGCUCGAAAGUGUGGGUAUCAAACAGGAUUAGAUACCCCAGUAGUC
rnacentral:rRNA from 1 species